AAGGAAGUGGCAGAGUGGUAAUGUGGCUGGCUUGAAACCAGCACAUGGGGGUUCAAUUCCUCCCUUCCUCG
rnacentral:tRNA from 1 species